rnacentral:rRNA from 1 species
AAAGAGAACCUGAAACCAUGUGUUUACAAGCUGUGGAAGCACUUUUUAUGUGGAACCGCGUACUUUUUGUAGAACGGUCCGGCGAGUUAUGAUAUCUGGCGAGGUUAAGGAUUUAGUGACGGAGCCGAAGGGAAACCAAGUCUCAAAUGGGCGCCAAGUCAGUCAGUGUAGACCCGAAACCGGGUGACCUAUCCAUGGGCAUGUUGAAGUGGAAGUAAAAUUUCAUGGAGGACCGAACCAGACGUCUGUUGAAAAAGGCGGGGAUGACCUGUGGAUAGCGGAGAAAUUCCAAUCGAACCCGGAGAUAGCUGGUUCUCCUCGAAAUAGCUUUAGGGCUAGCCCCGUAUUAGUUUAGCGGAGGUAGAGCACUGAAUUCCUAAGGGGGCGUCAAAGCUUACC